rnacentral:rRNA from 1 species
UGGGGAAUCUUGGACAAUGGGGGCAACCCUGAUCCAGCCAUGCCGCGUGAGUGAUGAAGGCCUUAGGGUCGUAAAGCUCUUUCGCCUGUGAAGAUAAUGACGGUAGCAGGUAAAGAAACCCCGGCUAACUCCGUGCCAGCAGCCGCGGUAAUACGGAGGGGGUUAGCGUUGUUCGGAAUUACUGGGCGUAAAGCGCACGUAGGCGGACCAGAAAGUUGGGGGUGAAAUCCCGGGGGCUCAACCCCGGAACUGCCUCCAAAACUAUUGGUCUAGAGUUCGAGAGAGGUGAGUGGAAUUCCAAAGUGUAGAGGUGAAAUUCGUAGAUAUUUGGAGGAACACCAGUGGCGAAGGCGGCUCACUGGCUCGAUACUGACGCUGAGGUGCGAAAAGUGUGGGGAGCAAACAGGAUUAGAUACCCUGGUAGUCCACACCGUAAAACGAUGAAUGCCAGUCGUCGGGUAAGCAUGCUAUUCGGUGACACACC